rnacentral:rRNA from 1 species
GCCACACUGGGACUGAGACACUGCCCAGACUCCUACGGGAGGCUGCAGUCGAGGAUCAUUUACAAUGGGCGAAAGCCUGAUAAUGCGACGCUGCGUGGAGGAUGACGGCCUUAGGGUUGUAAACUCCUGUCAUUCGGGAAAAAUGGUGAGUAGGCCAAUACCCUAUUCAAUUGAUGGUACCGAAAGAGGAAGCCACGGCUAACUCUGUGCCAGCAGCCGCGGUAAUACAGAGGUGGCGAGCGUUGUUCGGAUUUACUGGGCGUAAAGCGUGCGUAGGUUGUUUCGUAUGUCGGAUGUGAAAGCCCACCGCUCAACGGUGGAACUGCAUCCGAAACUGCGGAGCUUGAGUACAGGAGGGGAGAGCGGAAUUCUUGGUGUAGCGGUGAAAUGCGUUGAUAUCAAGAAGAACACCGGUGGCGAAGGCGGCUCUCUGGAAUGUUACUGACACUGAGGCACGAAAGCUGGGGGAGCAAACAGGAUUAGAUACCCUGGUAGUCCCAGCCGUAAACGGUGUGCACUUGGUGUGGGGGGAAUUGACCCCCUCCGUGCCGGAGCUGACGCGUUAAGUGCACCGCCUGGGGAGUACGGCCGCAAGGCUAAAACUCAAAGAAAUUGACGGGGGCCCGCACAAGCGGAGGAGCAUGUGGCUCAAUUCGAUGCAACGCGAAGAACCUUACCAGGGCUUGACAUGUAACUGCAAAUCCUGCGAAAGCAGGACUCUUUCGAAGGUGUUACACAGGUGCUGCAUGGCUGUCGUCAGUUCGUGCCGUGAGGUGUUGGGUUAAGUCCCGCAACGAACGCAACCCCUGUGUUUAGUUGCCACCGCAGGUGAUGAGCCUGCGAGCACUCUAAACAGACUGCCCGUACAAGCGGGAGGAAGGUGGGGACGACGUCAAGUCAGUAUGGCCCUUACGCCCUGGGCUGCACACGUGCUACGAUGGCAGGUACAAAGGGACGCAAGACCGCGAGGUGGAGCAAAUCCCCAAAACCUGCCCCAGUUCGGAUUGGAGUCUGCAACUCGACUCCAUGAAGUUGGAUUCGCUAGUAACGGCGUAUCAGCUACGACGCCGUGAAUACGUUCCCGGGCCUCGUACACACCGCCCGUCACAUCAUGAAAGUCGUCUGCACCCGAAGUCGUUAUACUAACCCGCAAGGGAUGUUCGCGCCGAAGGUGUGGGUGGUAAUUGGGAUGAAGUCGGAACAAGGUA